rnacentral:sRNA from 1 species
GCUGGGUGUGGUGACGCUCACCUGUAAUCCCAGCUGCUCAGGAGGCUGAGGCAGGAGAAUCACUUGGAGCAGGGAGGUGGAGGUUGCAGUGAGCUGAGAUGGCACCAGUGCACUCCAGCCUGGGGACAGACUGAGUCUCAAAAAAAAAAAAAAAUGUUUCAGAGACAAAAUCUUGCUGUCACCCAGGCUGGAGUGUAGUGGUGCCAUCACAGCUCACUGUAGCCUUGAACUCCUGGGCUCAAGGGAUCCACCUGCCUCA